rnacentral:lncRNA from 1 species
AUUCUCCCGUGACGGUGACUCCAACGGUUGGCUGAGGACGAUUCCCUGAGCCUUGACAAAGCAGGAGCCCUCCGUGGCGGUGCGUCGGUGUCGAGGCUCCAGUCUGACUAAUCCAGGGGGUCGACAAAACAGAUUCGGGACACUAUGCUACACGGAGGGCCUACCAGGAUGCAGAAACAGCAGACGGAGUCCAGGGAAAGCAGUGCGGCAUCCCAGCCUCAGGCCUGCCCGUACGGUGUUCGGACGGAAUGAAGUUGAUAAUAGUGAGACCUUGUUGGUACAAGACUAUGUAACAUAACCUGCGCUUCUCAACAAAGAAUUGCUUUUCUGACUUCUGCACUCAACUACUCAACAUGAAGGCAAUAAGAAUGAAGACCUCUAUGUAUAAUAAUUGACUUCCACUUAAUAAAUAGCACCUCCUACGAACCAGGAUCUGUACUUGCUGUCCCAGUUAUAAAGUAAAACAGCCUGUCCUUCCUGCACUCAAGGAGACAGCUCCAUAAGCGGGGAGCUUGUUAAAAAUGCAGAAUUUGGGGAACUAUUCACAGAGAUUUUUACUAAGUUACGUGGAAAAAAGCCUGGGACUAGCUACGAUCUCCCCUCUGGUGAUUUGGAUGUGAUAGUCUCUUAAACAUAUUUUGAAAUAUACUCGCCCAAAGAAUGGAGAAAGACCCAGCCGGCCCUCCUCAUGUGGCUGCUGAGGGAGAUAUAUGUAUAAUUAAAAAACUGCCAAAAACAAA